UGAAUCUGCGCUGCUUGAGUUUUGCAACACAUUUUGCGAGACGUAUGUAGCAAAACAAAUUUGUACCUGUAGAAAUGCUUACAAAGCUUACAAGCUGCUGAGGUUGUUGCUGCAAGUGGAGUUGGAUGCUAACGGCCUCUUUUUCAAUCCACCAUGGCACAACAGUCCAGUAUCAUGUAUCUACGUGUCACAAACAACAAUCUGGCAUCAACAACCCUGGCCUUCUUCAGUGAAGCAGUGCAGAAUUUUGGUUUGCCACUGAGGCUCCGGGGUGAUCAUGGAGUGGAGAAUGUUGAUGUGGCUCGUUUUAUGUUCUCUGUCCAGGGAACAGGCAGGAGUAGCUUCAUUGCAGGCAAAAGCGUUCACAA